rnacentral:tRNA from 1 species
UCGCAGAUGGAUGAAAGGUAAGUCGGCACUAGCGCAAAGUGCGAUGCAGGUUCAAUCCCUGCUCUGCGAGCCA